rnacentral:rRNA from 1 species
GACGAACCGUGCGAACGUUGUUCGGAAUCACUGGGCUUAAAGGGCGCGUAGGCGGUUGGCAAAGUCCGGGGUGAAAGCCCCCAGCUCAACCGAGGAACUGCGCCCAAAACUACCGUGCUCGAGGAAGAUAGAGGUGAGCGGAACUUACGGUGGAGCGGUGAAAUGCGUUGAUAUCGUAAGGAACACCCGUGGCGAAAGCGGCUCACUGGGUCUUCUCUGACGCUGAUGCACGAAAGCUAGGGGAGCAAACGGG